UUUAAACAAUAUAAAAUAUCGCACGUACGUGCCGGUCAGAAUCUAGUAAAAAUUUGAAAUCAAAAACACGCAUAUAUGUUUGCCAAAAGAACUAUUUUAUUU
rnacentral:sRNA from 1 species